GUUCCAACAAGGAUCUACAUCUACAUCUAACGACAUCUAGGUAUCUACAACAACAUCUAAGUAUCGUUACAUAUUCAGCAACCAGAAGGCGCACCGGCAGCAGUUCACUGCCAAGGCAACUGGCGGCGGCCGACUCGGGGGCAUAAGGGGCCGCGUCCUGCAGCUUGUUGGGGGCGGCUGCGCAACAGGGCUUGGAGAGCCCUUUUUCGUAUCGAGCAGCUCUGAGGCCAGCGAUGCACCAUCUGCGGCGCUGGACAACAGCAUAGCCGAAGAGCCGCAGCCGGGCCCCAGUGCGGCAACAGGGAGGCGUCAUGCGUCAAGACCCGCCCGGCCACGAAGGUCAAGGCCCAGCGAGGCUGGCGCACGGAGCAGCGGACCGACGUCAGAAGGAGAGCUGCUCCAGCAGGCAGUGCUGGAUGAAGCGCGAACUGUGCAGGUUGCGCAAAGCCAAGCCACCAUCCAGCGCGAAUUGCUUGCGGAGUCAAGAAAGUUCUGUGAUCUGAGGAACAUCCUCAAUGGUAUCCCGUACGGCAUCGCCGUCUUCGACGUCGACGAGGACGCUUGGGAGGAAAACCCGUGCGUCUAUGGCCCAAAGAACUUCGAACGCUUGAACAUGGUCCGCAAGCUGGUCGACCACGUCAGCAGGCCAGGAAAUGAUCACUUCCCCGUGGGCUGCUGGAUGAUCACAUGAACAGUGUAAUACGUAGUGCUCAGAUCUACAAAGUUGUUUGCGGGACUAUUCUGCCUCCUAAUUUAAUUUAGACUGAUCCUUGGAGACACCUAAACUUCUACAUGCUAAGCUAAUCAGUUCAUAACUGCUUAGUGGUAGUUAUUUAUUGUCGUUGUGUCUUUCAGCCACCCGCUCGAUCAUAGCUGGAAAAGAAGUUGUGUGGGGUCUUUCUUUUGUAUUUUUGUGCGCGAGACACUGGACAGUGAAAAGACUAUUGGCAAUGCAUUUCCUCCAUACAAAACAAAAAAAAAAUCAUGAAAGAGUUUCGUUGUGUAUGUUAUUUGAUAUUUCAUCAGUUGAUUCCGUGCCUUCAACCAACAAAAAUUUUAAACUAGAAAAACAUAUGGAAGUGUCAAAGAAACCUUCUUUCAGUAAUUACCAAUGCAGUCAGUAUUGCUGAAUGAUUAGCUCAUGGUUUCAUACCCACAAUACCACCCGCCAGUACCCAUGUAUCUUUUCCAGUGAACGUCCUUUUUCGGCUAACAAUAAGUUUGCACCAUUUUGUUCCGGAAGUUCCUCCAAUGUUAUUAAUGGUUCUAUCCGUUGCUAUUGGACAUGCAGGCGAGCAUGGUGCAAUCAAAUUGUGUACGCGACGGGAAUACGGGUGUGCAUUUCUUUUGUGUUUUCUUCUAAGUGUUCACGAAAAUCUUACUUUUAUUUCAUUUUCUUUCAUUUUGAAUA